rnacentral:rRNA from 1 species
UACGUAGGGUGCAAGCGUUGUCCGGAAUUAUUGGGCGUAAAGAGCUUGUAGGCGGUUUGUCGCGUCUGCUGUGAAAUUUCGGGGCUCAACCCCGAACUUGCAGUGGGUACGGGCAGACUAGAGUGUGUAGGGGAGACUGGAAUUCUCGGUGUAGCGGUGAAAUGCGUAGAUAUCGAGAGGAACACCUGCGGCGAAGGCGGGUUGCUGGGCCGACACUGACGCUGAUGCGCGAAAGCCAGGGGAGCGAACGGG